UAACUUGUAGCUUAAUUAAAGCAUCUUGCUUACACCAAGAAAAUACCCGUUAAACCCGGAUCAAGUUGA
rnacentral:tRNA from 1 species